UGCAAUGAAACCAUUUUUGCCACCUAAACAACAAAAGUUUCUGACCUUGUAAAAAUGUGUAAAGCACAAACACCAAAGCUGAAAUAAUACAUGUUCUCUGCUUGGUCACGUGACCACACUGUUUUAAUAAAAAACCUAAAGUUCAGUCUUUAGAAAAACAUCAAAAACAAGUUGAUAACCACUUUGUCCCUAAAAGAUCUUACAGUUCUGACUGAUUAUGUUUCAUGUAGAUUUUUACUUAAUAUUUUUUUUUAAAAAGAGCACAAUUUAAGAAAACACUUUUGCAUUUUUUUCUUUGUGGUUAAUAACAAAAAAAAUAGCCAAAGUGCCCAGAAGAUGCGCUCCAGAAUGACUUGUGACCGUCUGGGUUUCGGACUCACCGCCCUGCUGACCGUCAGAAACCUUCUUCCGUGUACUUUGCUUGUUGGAGUCCUGUCUGCUCAGGACCUCGGACAGCGACUGGCGCGAGCUUUGCCGCGCGGUCUGGCUGGACGCGUUGAAGCACGCGCCUCUCUUCCUGGUUCGGUCCGACUCCGGCGCGGACUGGCUCCUCUCCGGGUCAUGCUUGUCGGGCUCGGAGCCCACUUUCACUAAGGCGUUCCGGGUUCUGGUGAAGGCGGAGGUGACCGAGCCCAUCCCGGAAGCCCUGAGCUGAAGAAGUCUGGGCAGGAACUAGCGCGCGCCCUCCGAGCUCACCUGUCGUCUUCCUUUGUACCUGUUGGAACCGGGCGGCUCUGCUCGCCAUCAAAAACGCGCAGUUCGUUCAUCACCGGCAAGUGUUCAGCUGCAAACCGGGAAACAGGUGGAAUGUCGGAGUUUUAGGGAAGCACCCCCUCCCCCCGUGUUUCCUCCAGCUGACACGUCACGUGGGGAAAGUUGCCCCGUCAACAAACGUGCCUCUCCCGGGAAAAUGACGGGUCCUCCAAAAUCCGUUACCGUAUUUCACCGACAGGUGUCAGGAAAAAACCCCUCUGCUUGAUGAAGUCACGCAGCAGGAGGAGGGCCCACGGGGGAGUGAUCCCACGUCAUCACUUUGAGCUGGAUCCAAACAGGACCUCUGGGAGGAGUCCCCGCCACCAGGCGAUCACCUGCGAAACCCAGCUCCAAAGUGGUGCCCCGGUGACGCCGAUCCGGGUGACAAAACUCAAUCUUGUUGAUUUCUACUCAUAGAGGGGGGUCUAAACCGCUCUUUGUCUGGGUCAUCACUAAGGAGCUGUCUGCCAUAGGACACCCCACCAUGAGAAUGAACCCCUGGCAGCUCAGCUCCUGGGAUAGCAGGAGCUCUUCAACCGUUCCACCACGUCAAGGGGGCAGUCAGGAGGCGGCUCAGGCAUCGGGUCCCGAUGCUUUCUGGACACCCCCCCUGGGAAGGUGUUUCGGGCAUGUCCCACUGUGUGGAGGUCCCGGGGAGGAAGCGGUCGGGGAGAGGGAAUCUGGGCAUCUUUGCUCCGACUGCUGCCCCCAUGAUCCAUUUCCAAAUGAGAGGAUGGAGCGGCAAAAAGUGUUCCUCUAAACCCAGACAAUCUUAUUUCCCUUUUAACUAAUGGAAAUUAAUACAAAUGAAAGGUUGUGUCCAUAAAGUGUAAUAAAACAUCUCAGAGUUA